AAAAUAUUUAAUUGAAAUUGUAUUUCGUUAUGUAUUAUUGUGUCGUAGAUAUCACUUCUUAAACUGAACUUAGAGAUGCAGUUAUGCCAGUCCCAGAGCACUUUACAGCAGCUGCAGUCGCAGUUCAGUCAGGAGCGUCAGCGUCUCACCCGGGAGCUUCAUGAGCUUGAAGAAGAUCAUCAGCAGAGGCAAAAGUCUCUUCAAGAAGCUCACAUCAUUGCAUUCCAGACUAUGGAAGAUGCAAAGGAUCAAUAACAAAAAAUAAGUGUGAUAUCAAAUAAUAUAAAGUGACAAUGUGAUGAAUGUAUUAUCCCUUUGGCAAAUUUUAGAAAUAGACGUCUAUGAAAAUUCUCAUUUAUCCAGGUCAUGAUAUACAGUAUCUAGUAGAAUUAAGUGAAAGGCAACUGGACUUUUAGAGUUUUUCUUGAAAAUAUUUCACCACUCAUCCGAGUGGCUUCUUCAGUUCAACUGAAGUGGUAGGGAAUUACACUGCUUUUAAAUCCUUGAGGCAAGUCACAGACAUCCAAUCAUAAUGGCUCGAUUUUACUUCAGUAAGGUGUUGGCUGAAACUCACAGAUGUGUGAAAGUGUGAUCCAGUCACGAUGGUACCAUAAGGCAGGUGUUAAUCUUUCAAUGUACAUGACUGGAAGUGUGAAUUGUUGUGAAGCCACCAGGGAAAGGAUUUCAAAUCAGCAUUUUGUUGAUGACAAGCAGUGUCACAGCCCCCCUCCUCUAUUCAGGGAUGGUUUUUAAACUUUGGCAUGAAUGGCCUCUUUUACAUCUCUUUCAACUCAUCUGUCUUUUCUAUCUAAAAUGUGCACAUUAUUGUUCUCAAAGGAAUGGCCCUUUUCCUUGAGAUGUAUAUAGACUGCUGAUUCUAGUCCUGAGGAGUUAGCCCUUCUAUGUUGGGCCAUUCUCUGACAGAUGUUUUGUCUCUCCAAUGUAUAGAUCGGUCACUCCUUACUACACUGGACAGCAUAGACCACAUUGCUCUUCAUAGUAAGUUAGGUUGAAAAAAGGCAUCAAGUUCAACCUUUUAAGUCGAUAUACAGUAUAGACUGCCUGCUAGAUGAUCCAGAAGAAGGCAAAAAAAAAACAUUUUGAAGCCUCUCCAUGUUGCCUUGGAAGGGAAAGAUUCCUUCUUGACUUCGGGAUGGGAAUAGGACCAGUCCCUGGAUUAACUUGUACUAUGAGCUGUCUUCCAUAACCUUGUAUUCCCUCACUUGCUAAAUAGCCAUCCAACUCCUUCUUAAAACUAUUUAAUAUAUCGGCCAUCAAAACUGAUUUAGGAAGAGAAUUGAACAUCUUCAUGGCUCUCACUGUAAAAAAAAAACCCUUCCGAAUAUAACCAGUUUCCUAUCCAUACUUCUUCAUUAAGACCAACAAGCCCUUAGUUUAGAAAGCAGUCAAGUGUGAAGCACUGUAUAAAACUCUAUGGCAAAAUCCAAAUAGAUCACAUAUACUGCUCCUCCUUUGUCCAGCAUCUUACUUACCUCAUCAUAAACCAUGCUGAUUACUGUUCAUAAUGCCAUUCACCAGGACAAUUCAUAUGUACCAUACUAGAUGAAAAGGAGUCUGAGAAAAUCAGAAAUAGAGGCCAGUCUAAAACUGAACCAUGCUCUCUUAGAACCCAAGAAUGUAUUCCAUCUGGCAUUGGUGCCUUGUUCACAUUCAUUUUUAGUAAAGCUUUAUGAACCACUGACUAGUUUGAGGUGAGCCAGCAUUACAGCGAUGAUGUGGGUCUUGGAACUCAGACUUUGUAUACACUGUGUAUACUGAAGAACCAAUUUAGCACAUUUGACUUUUCAGUAUCUGUUACAACUAUGCUGGUACCAUUAUUUAAAGGAACCACACUCCUAACCUGCAUAUUUUUUUAGACAAACAGCUUUUUCUUUUCUCUAUGUGUGGAGUAAGCUGGUGGAUAAAUUUAGUGCAUUUAUCUGGGAAAACCCAUGUAUGAAGCAUUAUGAAUAAUGGGUUGUAUAACCGUACAUCAAUAAGGAAAAUGGCCAUAAUUACGGGUAGUAUUACUUUAAUCAACAUGUGCUGUGUUGCAAAUCAUUCAGUUUGAUGUAAUUACUAGAAAAGGCAAGCCUUGAUAAUUAUUUCCAAUAUGCAGACUAUUCCUGAGAAAGUCUCCAUAGAAUAAAUUCAGAGAAAUGUAAGGGUUGGUUUACCAAUACAGCAGUUCAUUAUAAUAUCAUUAUUUAUCUUUGCAGGAUCUUGAAGUACACUUGCAUCAAAAAUACUCAGAGGAGAUUCAGAGUGUAAAGGAAGCACACAAGCAGAUGAUGGAUGAUCUUCAACAUAAAAUGGAGCAAGAACUUCAGACUUAGCGUUUUGAAUUAGAAGAUGAGGGAAAAGCAAUGUUAGCAUCACUACGCUCUGAACUUAAUCACCAGCAUGCAGCAGCUAUUGAUCUGCUAAGGAACAAUCACCAACUGGAGAUGGAUGCAGCUUCAGUAAACCUUGAGAGGCACAAAGAGAUCAGCAGGCACCAGGUUAACAGAAAUGGAAGAAAAAUAUCAGAACAGAGAGUCUAGGCCUAAGAUACGGUAACCGAGCGGGAUCAGCUCAUCACGAAACUAAUUGAUGACUAGAAGAUUUGCCAACUAGAGUUAGUGAACCGGGAGACCAACUUCAACAAAGUAUUCAAUACUAGUCCUAAUGUUGGGCAAAAUAAGAAGAAUAAUAAAUCCACAAACAGGUUUGUGAGUGUUCCUAACCUCAGUGCUCUGGAAUCUGGUGGAAUGGGAAAUGGACAUCCACAGCGCCUGGAGCCCAUUCCUAACUCCCCCAUCCACGAUAUUGAGUUCAACGGCAGCAAGCCAUUUCUUCAGCCCGUGCCACACAAAGAGGUGAAGACCUUAAUGAGCCCUCCCCAGACUGAGAGCUCAUCAGUGGCAUCCCCAGACCCCCAGCGUUAGGAAUGGUUUGCCAGAUACUUCACUUUCUAAGAGACACAAUUUGACUAUGUUUCUAUUUAUUUAUAUUGUGGCACAGCGUAGACGUGGACUGUGUGUAAAAGCAUGAUUUUGACAACUCAUGAUGUGACCAAACUUUGCCGUGAAACACUGUUUGUCAAACACUGUGAGCAAGUUUUUGUCUACAGCAACAAUUGUACUAUAAUUUUUUAGUCCAUUUCAAUAACAUUCUCAUUCCAUAAGGUGGUCACAGCCAUUAGAAACAAUGAUCACAAAGUCAGCAAAACUGCUGUACUACCCAGCGGUCACCUUCUUUUGCCAUAAUGCACCGCGAUACUGUGCCAGUGAUAGAAUGAAUCCCAUCAAAAUGAGACAAGGUUAUCUUAAAGGGGACCCGUCACCCAAAAAAAUCAUUCAUAAUCCUAUUUUAUCACAUCAGUCAAGCAAAAUUAC